AAUCAACGCUGGCGGCGUGCCUCAGACAUGCAAGUCGAACGCGAAAUCUCCCUUCGGGGAGAAAGUAGAGUGGCGCACGGGUGAGUAACACGUGGGUAAUUUACCUUCGGGUGGGGAAUAACGUCUCGAAAGAGGCGCUAAUACCGCAUGAUGCAGCGGCACCACAUGGUGACAGUUGUUAAAGCGGGGAUCGUAAGACCUCGCGCCUGAAGAGAAGCCCGCGGCAGANAGCUAGUUGGUAAGGUAAUGGCUUACAAGGCAACGAUCUGUAGCCGGCCUGAGGAGGGCGGUCGGCCA
rnacentral:rRNA from 1 species